CGAUGGGUCUGGGAUGAUGGAAGGCUCGCAGGCCAAAAUCAUGCGGGGCUCGAGGAUGGGUCUGCGGCCUAUCAGGUAGUAGGGGGUGUUACGGACCCCCUAGCCGAAGACGGGUACGGGCUUUGGGAGAAGUCGCCCGGAGAUGGAUUCUGAGACACGAAUCCAGGUCCUACGGGACGCAGCAGGCGCGAAACCUCCACAAUGUGGGAAACCACGAUGGGGGAACUCCAAGUGCCUAGACUUAUGUCUAGGCUGUUCUCGAGCCUAAAAAGCUCGAGAAGUAAGGGCCGGGUAAGACGGGUGCCAGCCGCCGCGGUAAUACCCGCGGCCCGAGUGGUGCUCAUUAUUAUUGAGCCUAAAGCGUCCGUAGCUGGCCAGACAAAUCUCCGGGUAAAUCGGGCGGCCCAACCGUCCGAAUUCCGGAGACACUGUUUGGCUUGGGAUCGGGAGAGGGUGAAGGUACUCCCGGGGUAGGGGUAAAAUCCUGUAAUCCUGGGGGGACCACCGGUGGCGAAGGCGUUCACCUAGAACGAAUCCGACAGUGAGGGACGAAGCCCUAGGGCGCAAACGGGAUUAGAUACCCCGGUAGUCUAGGGUGUAAACUCUGCAGACUUGGUGUUGGGGGUCCUGCGUGGGCUCCCAGUGCCGGAGUGAAGAUGUUAAGUCUGCCGCUUGGGGAGUACGGUCGCAAGACUGAAACUUAAAGGAAUUGGCGGGAGAGCACCGCAACGGGAGGAGCGUGCGGUUCAAUUG
rnacentral:rRNA from 1 species